GGGUGCGAUCAUAUUAGCACUAAUGCACCGGAUCCCAUUAGAACUCCGAAGUUAAGCGUGCUUGGGCGAGAGUAUUACUAGGAUGGGUGACUUCCUGAGAAGUCCUCGUGUUGCACCCU
rnacentral:rRNA from 1 species